ACACUUACUUUUGAGUAGGUUUCCUCUGGAUUCUGACCGUUGUCGAAUGUGGGUUAAAAAUGCUGGCAUAGAAGACUUAGCAUAUGUACCUAUUGAAAAGUUACACCAACUUAAGUUUGUUUGUGGUGGGCACUUCACUCCUGAAUCCUUCAAUGCCAAAGGAACUCGGCUGAAGAACUCAGCUAUUCCAACACUGGAAUUGAGCAAUCCCAUCUUGCCAGAUGAAGUUUUGACAGAGUUUCCUCUUCAUGUAAAAGUCUCCAAUAAAGAAAACCUCAAGACAGUUCUUUAUGAUCAUUCAUAUUGCAUUCCAAAGAAGUCAAAUCCAGUUGAACGAGGUAUGUUUAUCUAAAAUUAUACUAAUAAUAUAAAAAGGAAAUAUUUAAUUGUUUGUUUGUAUUUGAUCGGCUCCGUAACUCGAAGCCAAGAUAGCCUAAAGUGCGGGUUAGAACCCCACAGCUUGAAUAUUGUAGUAAACCCACUCGUAACACAAUUUAGCUUAGAAUGAGGUGUUGAGUUAGAGGGACUUUAGUAAUUUGUGUAAUACAAAUUCUUCAAAAAAAGUACCGGACCAA